AGGUCAAGCUACCAAGAGCUAACGGCGGAUCCCUUGGCACACAGAGGCGAUGAAGGACGUGGCGACCAACGAUAUGCUCCGGGGAGCUGGAAGCAAGCAUCGAUCCGGAGGUUUCCGAAUGGGGCAACCCCAAGUACGGUCUGCUGAACACAUAAGCAGACACGAGCGCACCCGGCGAACUGAAACAUCUUAGUAGCCGGAGGAAGAGAAAGCAAAAGCGAUUCCCUGAGUAGCGGCGAGCGAAACGGGAACAGCCUAAACCAAUCGCUACGGCGGUUGGGGUCGUGGGACAGUCAUCAGCGACCGCAAAGAUUAGACGAAGCAGUUGAACGCUGCACCAGAGAAGGUAAAAGUCCUGUAGUCAAAAAUUGGCACGGCGCGACUGUAUCCCGAGUAGCGCGGGGCACGUGAAAUCCCGCGUGAAUCUGCGAGGACCACCUCGUAAGGCUAAAUACUCCUGUGUGACCGAUAGCGAACCAGUACCGCGAGGGAAAGGUGAAAAGAACCCCAGUGAGGGGAGUGAAAUAGAAUGUGAAACCGUUAGCUUACAAGCAGUGGAAGGCUGAUUAAACGGCUGACCGCGUGCCUGUUGAAGAAUGAGCCGGCGACUUACAGGCUGUGGCUGGUUAAGGCAGAGAAUGCUGGAGCCCCAGCGAAAGCGAGUCCGAAUAGGGCGCUUGUCACAGUUUGUAGACCCGAACCCGGGCGAUCUAACCAUGGCCAGGCUGAAGCUUGGGUAAAACCAAGUGGAGGGCCGAACCGACUUCUGUUGAAAAAGGAGCGGAUGAGCUGUGGUUAGGGGUGAAAUGCCAAUCGAGCCCGGAGCUAGCUGGUUCUCCUCGAAAUGCGUUUAGGCGCAGCGGUUAAGAGAUUGCACGGGGGGUAAAGCACUGCUUCGCUGCGGGCUGCGAGAGCGGUACCAAAGUGAGGCAAACUCAGAAUACCCGUGUAAAACUUAGCCAGUGAGACGGUGGGGGAUAAGCUUCAUCGUCGAAAGGGAAACAGCCCAGACCGCCAGCUAAGGUCCCCAAAUAGUGACUCAGUGGUAAAGGAGGUGGGAGUGCCGAGACAACCAGGAGGUUUGCUUAGAAGUAGCCAUCCUUGAAAGAGUGUGUAAUAACUCACUGGUCAAGCGCUCCUGCGCCGAAAAUGAACGGGACUAAGUCACUUACCGAAGCUGCGGACUUGCAAUGCAAGUGGUAGAGGAGCGUUCUGCAUGGGGUGAAGCACUAGCGGCAAGCAGGUGUGGACGGUGCAGAAGUGAGAAUGUCGGCUUGAGUAGCGAAAAUUGGGGUGAGAAUCCCCAACCCCGAAACCCUAAGGGUUUCUCCGCAAGGCUCGUCCGCGGAGAGUUAGUCGGGACCUAAGGCGAGGCUGAAAAGCGUAGUCGAUGGACACAGGGUCAACAUUCCCUGACUGCUAUACGGGAGUCUAAAUGGGGACGCAUGAGAACUAGCUACACCCUGAUUGGAUUGGGAGGUGUCUACGGACGCCGCGUAGUGAAUAGGAGUGCCAAGAAAAGCCAUUUAGAUGUUGAACGUAUGGCACCCGUACCCGAAACCGACACAGGUAGGGUGGUAGAGUAUACCGAGGGGCGCGAGGUAACUCUCUCUAAGGAACUCGGCAAAAUGACCCCGUAACUUCGGAAGAAGGGGUGCCCCCGCAAGGGGGUCGCAGUGAAGAGGCCCAGGCGACUGUUUACCAAAAACAUAGGUCUCUGCUAACUCGUAAGAGGACGUAUAGGGGCUGACGCCUGCCCAGUGCCGGAAGGUUAAGGAAGUUGGUUAGCGUUAUGCGAAGCUGACGACUGAAGCCCCGGUGAACGGCGGCCGUAACUAUAACGGUCCUAAGGUAGCGAAAUUCCUUGUCGGGUAAGUUCCGACCCGCACGAAAGGCGUAACGAUCUGGGCGCUGUCUCGGAGAGAGGCUCGGCGAA
rnacentral:rRNA from 1 species